GUGCCAGGCAGGGCAGGGCUGGGCUGGGCAGGGCAGGGCAGGGCUGGGCAGGGCAGCACUGGGGCCCUCCGGGUGACGCUGCUGACCAACGUCCCC
ensembl:miRNA